GUGUCUGUGGUGCAAUUGGUCAGCACGUUUGGCUGUUAACCAAAAAUUGGUGGUUGGAACCCACCCAGGGACG
rfam:Loxodonta africana unplaced genomic scaffold scaffold_209, whole genome shotgun sequence.